CCAGCAGCCGCGGUAAUUCCAGCUCCAAUAGCGUAUAUUAAAGUUGUUGCAGUUAAAAAGCUCGUAGUUGGACUUGUGGUGGUUCCUGUGGUCCAAUUUUGGUACUUUGGGGAACUGCCAUCCUUGGGUGGAUCCUGUGUGGCAUUAGGUUGUCGUGCAGGGGAUGCCCAUCGUUUACUGUGAAAAAAUUAGAGUGUUCAAAGCAGGCUUAUGCCGUUGAAUAGAUUAGCAUGGAAUAAUGAGAUAGGACCUUGGUACUAUUUUGUUGGUUUGCGCACCGAGGUAAUGAUUAAUAGGGACAGUUGUGGGUAUUCGUAUUCCAUUGUCAGAGGUGAAAUUCUUGGAUUUGUGGAAGACGAACUAACGCGAAAGCAUUUACCAAGGAUGUUU
rnacentral:rRNA from 1 species